AUGUACAUGGAGACAUGGUGGGACUUCAUGUACAGGGUACUAGGGUGAAAAGAAUUGCUGCAAAGACGUCCCCUCUACUAGGCUCUAGGCCUUUGCCUUUGGAGACAUGGCGAACUGAAUGCGCAGGGCGAAAAGAAUUGCUGCAAAGACGUCCGCUCUAGGCCUUUGGAGACAUCGUGGGAACUCCUUCCGGUACUAUAAAACUGCUGACGUGGCCGUGGACAUGUACAUGGAGACAUGGUGGGACUUCAUGUACAUGUGGGAAAUCCUUCCGGCACCCCCGUACCGCAAAGCCAACGGUGGGGAAGGAGAAGUGCAGACGUGCAGGAAGACGAACGAGGAGGAACCAGGACGAGCGAGCAAUGGCAGGACUGGCUGGACCGUAAGUAAUAGCUGAAUUGUGCAUGACAACUUGACAUCCAUGCGGCACUCGCCACUUGCCACUGCAUAUUUCUUGUCCACUAACAAUGUCUCUCCUCUGCCCCCUGUGUGUCCACGGCCCUGUUGCUGAAUUGGCCCGAUGAAUCGAAUGUCUUCCGCAACUGGAACGGCCCCGUGAACGCUGUCGCGUCGGCGACUGAAUGCGCAGGAGGGAAAAUAUUGCUGCGAAGACGUCUCCUCUAGACGACGGUAUAUCAUCCCGUGACGACCACAUUGAAGUCUGAAUUUGAAGUGUGAAGAUGCUUCAGCAACCACAUCGUACUUUUCCAUUGCUUUCAUUGUGCUUCUACUGUGCAUGUGUGUAACUUGUGGGGUAAACAUGUGAUGACAUUGUAUGCUGGCGACACGGUCAGAUGUUCAUGCGUCUAACGUACACCUGCAUGUUAUGCAUUGAAAAGGGUUUGCCACUUGCGAUCCUGGGACGAGUAUCAGGUCCGCUUUGUCCUGUGUGGGCUGUAUCAGAUUGCUGUUCACUUCUCUAUCUGUUGGAUAUGUGACUUUCUGCAAGUUUCUGGUGUAUGAUGGCCACGUCCUUGCUUGUCACUUUGUAUGAUAUUACAUUCUGUAUUCGCUGCUUCCAUGGCAUGGUCUGCAAACUGCAAUCAUUGGGCAAAUGUCAUGUUUGCUAUGUUGUGCUUUGGCCGUCAGCUUGUCUACACGCUGUAGUUGAAUUAUUUUUGUUUCACAACUGACUUCCUCAAGUACGGUGGCCACUGCUUUGCAUGGCAUUAUA